rnacentral:rRNA from 1 species
UACGUAGGGCGCAAGCGUUGUCCGGAUUCACUGGGUGUAAAGGGUGCGCAGGCGGACUGGCAAGUCAGGGGUGAAAUCUCACAGCUCAACUGUGAAACUGCCUUUGAUACUGCUGGUCUUGAGUCAGGGAGAGGUUGAUGGAAUUCCAGGUGUAGCGGUGAAAUGCGUAGAUAUCUGGAAGAACACCGGUGGCGAAGGCGGUCAACUGGCCCUGAACUGACGCUCAGGCACGAAAGCGUGGGGAUCAAACAGGAUUAGAUACCCUGGUAGUCCACGCCCUAAACGAUGAAUACUUGGUGUUGGCCUUUUUUGGUCAGUGCCGAAGGAAACCUGAUAAGUAUUCCACCUGGGGAGUACGCUCGCAAGGGUGAA